UAGGCAUACCUUCCAUGCGAAUGUGGUUCUGUCGACCCACGUGGAUUGGAACCAACAGUAUGUCCGCGAACAGUAUGAGUAGAAGUCACCAUUUGAAAGCGAGCGUGAAGUUGGGCUAAAGGAAAUAGGGUGGUCAAAUUGCAGGAUCGCUAGACAUGUGUGUCGGAGGGAUAUUACCAUUCGAUAAUGUUGGCAAGAAUAUGUGAACGAGGGUCGUACAGAGCGUCAAGAAAAUAGUAAUUGAAAGAGAACGACGAUAGAACAUAAGGAUGGAGUAAUCAUCCGAUCGGCACUCACAGCCCCUGAUGCGUCUUUAUCAACGAUCCGAGAUGUAACAGGGAUAAAAGUGACUGAAAUGACCAUUGAUAGCAAAAUCAGAGAAAAGAGACUGAAGUUGCGGAGGCCAUUUCGCCGAUUGCCCCUCACCAUAACAGACCCUCAGCCACCUUUUCAGUAAUUCUGGCCGCAUUAUACCUGGGAUCUCACGGACUGGAAUAGAACUGUUUUCAGCGAUAAAUCUCGUUUCGAAAAGAUACCCAAUGACUAGGGAAGACAAGUCUGGAGAAGAGCAAAACAGUGGUAGGGUACUCACCUGACUGUCGUUCGAUACACAUCCCAACAACUAGGAAUUAGGUUAUGGGGUAUCAUUUCAUUUGAUAGCCGGAUCCCUUUGGUUGUCAUCCGUGAUAUUCUUAUAGCACGGCGGUACGUUGACGAGAUUCUACUCCUGUAGUAUUACGCUUACUUUCAUGGACUCCGGGCUUAUCAACAACGUGAUGUUCAGCCUCACAUUGCACACCUUUCUAAUGCUUAUCUUCCUGUCUCUUCACUGCUUUCUUGGCCGAAUUCUUCCCAGAAGAGCACGUUUGGCCUAUGACGAAGGGGCGUCUCCAACAUUCCCUUGGAUGCGGCAAUUUAAUGCUCCAUUUAGAAUGUGUAUAGGAAAUAAUUUUGUAGGAGAACAUCCGCCAACUUUAAAGUCAAUACGCAGCCAGAUAACAGCAUGCAUCAGGACCAAGAUGGGCAAAAGCAUUAUUUAUUUCGUUUCGCUAUUGUAGCUGCAUUUUCUGAAAAAGCAUUCAAUUCCUAUGAUACUGUUAGCGUUUGAUGUUAUAGAAGGUAUUAUCUGUAAUGAACUCUGGAUCAAACUAUAACAAAGAAAAUUCUGAACUUGGUUUUAGAACACUAGAAACAGUAUCUCAUGGUAUAUAUAGCCUGCCAUCUCCUAAUUGUGGUUAUGUAGAAUAGCUUUGUGGAUGAUCAUUGAAAGCUUGUAUAUUUCAUUAAAGAUAACUGAAUAAAUUGUACUUAAUUUUCUGUUAAAA